UGGGGAAUUUUGGACAAUGGGCGAAAGCCUGAUCCAGCAAUGCCGCGUGUGUGAAGAAGGCCUUCGGGUUGUAAAGCACUUUUGUCCGGAAAGAAAUCCUUGGCUCUAAUACAGUCGGGGGAUGACGGUACCGGAAGAAUAAGCACCGGCUAACUACGUGCCAGCAGCCGCGGUAAUACGUAGGGUGCAAGCGUUAAUCGGAAUUACUGGGCGUAAAGCGUGCGCAGGCGGUUUGCUAAGACCGAUGUGAGAUCCCCGGGCUCAACCUGGGAACUGCAUUGGUGACUGGCAGGCUAGAGUAUGGCAGAGGGGGGUAGAAUUCCACGUGUAGCAGUGAAAUGCGUAGAGAUGUGGAGGAAUACCGAUGGCGAAGGCAGCCCCCUGGGCCAAUACUGACGCUCAUGCACGAAAGCGUGGGGAGCAAACAGGAUUAGAUACCCUGGUAGUCCACGCCCUAAACGAUGUCAACUAGUUGUUGGGGAUUCAUUUCCUUAGUAACGUAGCUAACGCGUGAAGUUGACCGCCUGGGGAGUACGGUCGCAAGAUUAAAACUCAAAUGAAUUGACGGGGUCAUAGCUGUUUCCU
rnacentral:rRNA from 1 species